rnacentral:tRNA from 1 species
GGUUAUAGCUCAGUGGGAGAGCGCCUGCCUUGCACGCAGGAGUCUUGGUUCGAUGCAUAAGCUCCACCA